rnacentral:tRNA from 1 species
GAGGGCAUAGCUCGCUGGUAGAGCGCAUGCCUAGCAUGCAUCAAGGUCCUGGGUUCACUCCCCAGUACCUCCA